rnacentral:rRNA from 1 species
CAGAGGGUGCGAGCGUUGUCCGGAAUCACUGGGCGUAAAGGGCGCGUAGGUGGCGACCCAAGUCGAUGGUGAAAGCUCGCCGCUUAACGGCGAGUCGGCCACCGAUACUGGGUUGCUCGAGCACUGUAGAGGCUAAUGGAAUUCCGGGUGUAGCGGUGGAAUGCGUAGAGAUCCGGAAGAACACCGGUGGCGAAGGCGGUUAGCUGGGCAGUUGCUGACACUGAGGCGCGACAGCGUGGGGAGCAAACAGGAUUAGAUACCCUGGUAGUCCACGCCGUAAACGAUGGGCACUAGAUGCUUGGGGGAGCGACCCCCUGAGUGUCGUCGCUAACGCAUUAAGUGCCCCGCCUGGGGAGUACGGCCGCAAGGCUG